CACUGACAGUAAAUUUCUCCAAGAUGGAGGGGGAAAUCAGUAAAGGAUAGGAGAAUUCUGAGGAAGUCUUUUGACAACAGCCUUAAGGAAGCCAUUAAACAGCUCCUCAUUCACAUUGUGCCCAUGAAGUGGCAUUUAAAUGACCGGAAGCUGUACUCUAUGAGGCUUCUCACUUUCUCCUUUUUUUCCUAUUAGCAUCCAUAAAGUACAAAUACAAACAAAGGACUGAAGGAGAAGAACUGUGCAGCUGUGACCUGAGUGAACACAUAUGCAAAAUGGAGGCAGGGUGAGCAUGAGAACAAAGAUACUAUGGGCUUUUCUUUGGCUAGACAACCGCAGUUUGAACUGGAUGUGUGUAAGCCAGGAAGUAGCACAUAUGGACAGAGAUCCCAUUUGUCUUACAGUGAUGGUUAGGAUGCUAUGGUGCUGUUUUGAUCACAAGAUUUUGACUUAAGGCCUGGUUUUAGCUUUGGAGACACGUAAUGUCUGAACGUGUGGCGAUGGCAUCUACACCACAAAUGUUGUUCUGCGUGGCUUUGGUCCUCUCAGCAUUCUGAUUAUGUUUGGCAAAGCCUCUCUCUGUUACCUCCAUUGCAAGAAAACAUCCGUGACAGCUUUUCAGCCACAGGAAUUAUCAGUGAAGGUACUCUGUUGAGCACUGGUUGGACAUGCUCAGUGACCUGGACCAGAACCCUUGGUUUGUGAUGUGGGAUUCUAAAAGAGGAUUAUGACAAGAGUACAAGCAUAGAGCUACCACCCUGCAGUUGCAGAGCAGUGUGUCCCAGUUCUCCCUUCUGGACAGGAACAGAGGCUGCCUGGAACCUCUUUAACACCUUUUCCAAAUCUGUUCCACUGGGUUCAGUAAAAAACCCUGUAAUUUCCUACAGUUUGUUCUGCAUCUGUUCAGUGGAAGUUCUUUCUUCUUUUUCUCCCUUGGGAAUGAAAUAAGCAACACAUCCCUGCCAAUGAGAGCCAUGAAACUUCUGUGUUCUGUACCUAAUUCUGAAGAAGAGAUUUAUUUCAGACUUGGUCUUCAGCUGAUACAGAGAAGUGAAUCCACAGAUUUCACAUAUCUGACAGUCAGCAAUGCUAGACAGCAUCAAACACAUCAUCAGAGUUGUGCUUCUACACUAUGGAAAGAGGACCUGAAUUAUUUUGGCACUGCUUUGAGUCAUAUGGAAGAACACAGCAAUAUUUAUGCAAAGUUUUCCAGUGGAGUCUUUCUUCAGAAUUUAACUCUAUCAAGAGCCCUAAUCUCCAUGAGGAAUCUCCACAAGAACAAGGUGCACAGGAAAUAA
rnacentral:lncRNA from 1 species